AGAAAUUGAAUGAAUGUUUGUCUAUUUAGAUGAUUUUUACAUAUUCAUUUUGAUAGUUACUGUAGAAAAUGGCUCGUCAGAUCAACCUUAAAUUACUCCAUGUGGAAACAAGCAACUGAACUAAUAUUAUUUAACUGAAAAUAUUACUUCGAUUCUUUCAAUCAUUCUUUCGCAGUAAUUAUUUAGGUUGAAUAAGACUAGUUAGUUUACUUGUUACCACAUGAAGUAAUUUUUUAGGUUGAUGUGAUGAGCCAUUAUAUCGCAAGUUGAGAUCAAGUUACCACAGCCUGGGUUUGCAUAAUAAUUUGUUCCAUUACUGAAAAUAAGAUUUCUCUGAUUAACAAAAUAUGUAGCAGCACGUGAAAAAAGGUGAAUGCAUAAUUAAGGAGCUUUAGAAAUAUGUCCACAUGCAUGAUCAUUUUUUUUGUUAUAUAACCACCAUAAAUGCUCAUGAAAGAAAGUUUCAACAGGCAUAAAUAUAUACAAGUUUGUUAAUUUAAGGAGGAAAUGUGUACGACUGAUUGCAUUUUCUUAACUCUCUCUGUGGAAAAAGAGGGAGUUAACCAUCUUCUCUGACGGUUUUAUGUCACAUCCUGCUGAACAACUCGAGUUCGAACAACCUUACAUGGCCCUAUUUCUUCAUCAAGAACCAGCAUGAUCAGAAACAUUGUAAUAAUUAUUCAGUCACUGUACUGGAUACAAGGUAUUACAAGAGCAGACGAUGUGAUUCAGCCCAAUAUUAUCUGGGCUCAAAUGGGUCAAUCAGCCACGAUUACCUGCGAACACACUAAAGGAGCAGGUUACACUCAGAUGUACUGGUUCCGUCAGGUACAAGGAGAGUCUAUGAAGCUUGUUGUCUUCACAGCAAGCUACGCCAAAGAGCCAGAGUUUGGAGAAGGUUUUGAUGACAAGAAAUUCUCAACAAAUAAAAAAGUUCCUGAGAGUGGAUCAUUAACAGUGACAGAUCUGGAUUCUGCUGACAGUGCUGUGUAUUUCUGUUCAGUAAAAGAGUCACAGUGUUAUAACUUCAACCCACAGCUGUACAAAAACCUAACACUCACUUACUCUGACAGAA
ensembl:lncRNA